UCUGUGCCUUACUUAUUUAACUUAACAUAGUAAUUUUCAGUUUCAUCCAUGUUGUUGCAAAUAACUGGAUCUCAUUCUUUCUGUGGCUAAAUAGUACUCUAUUGUAUAGACAUACAAUGUUUUCUUUAUUCAUUCAUCUGUUGGUGGACCCUUAGGCUGCUUCCAAAUCUUAACUAUUGUAAACAGUGCUGCAACAAACACAGGAGUGAAGAUAUCUCUUUGAUGUACCAUUUUCGUUGUUUUGGGUAUACGCCCAGCACUGGGAUUGCUAGAUCAUAUGGGACAUGGAUGAAUCUGGAGAACGUCAUCCUCAGCAAACUGACACAAGAACAGAGAAUGAAACACCGCAUAUUCUCACUCAUAGGCGGGUGAUGAAAAAUGAGAACACAUGGACACAGAAAGGGGAGUACUAAACACUGGGGUCUAU
rnacentral:lncRNA from 1 species